CGCCAGGCGCCCUGUGGGUGGUGGGCUUCGUUCCAUCUCUGGUUCGUCUCCUCCGGGUCCUCACGCCCUGUCCCCUCGGGCCCCCUGUCGGUGGUCCAGCCUCGCCAGCAGCGUGACAGCCCCCCCACCCACCCCCACCGAGAGAGGAUAGCGCGGCAGGCACGGCUGCGUCUGCCACAGCCCCAUCUCGUCACCUCCGAAGCAGCUGGCCCUGCAGCUGGUGCCGCCCAGGCCUAGAGUCUCCCUUGUGCCGAGUCUUGGGGUGAAGAACGCACAUUUAAAAAUAGAU